CCUUCUUCUCCUUGCCCGGGCUCCCGUCAUAAAGGAGGGGACGGCGGGCCAGGGAGGACCUAGCUCGUUACUGAGUCAAAGGCGGCACUGGUGUCACAGUAGCUAGACCAGACGAGGCAGCACUACUUGACACACAGGAGGGAAUGUGAUGCCCAUGCAUAAAGAUGUGCUCCUGAACGUUUCCGGCCUGGUCUUCAAGUAGCCCCAGGGCAUUGGCACUUUCAGGCCUUCUGUGAAUUAAUUCUUCACCUGUUUCCCCUUCUCUCUCCAGUCCAGAUCAAGGUCACCUUGAGAGAGGGGGCUUCUGUGACCUGUGGGAGUGGGCUUCCUGUUUCCAUUACGAUGCUUAUUUGCUAAACAGCAUUUUGGACAAUUUA